UAGGCGUAAAUGAUGCGAGUUAAGUGUGGGGCGAUCUACGAGAUGGCCCUGUGCUGUAGGGUAGCCGUUAAACUCGCUGCCGUGGGGAGUACGGUCGCAAGGCUGAAACUUAAAGGAAUUGGCGGGGAGCACCACAACGGGUGGAGCCUGCGGUUUAAUUGGACUCAACGCCGGGAAGCUCACCGGAUAAGACAGCGGAAUGAUUGCCGGGCUAAAGACCCUGCAUGACCAGCUGAGAGGAGGUGCAUGGCGUAGUCGUGU
rnacentral:rRNA from 1 species